rnacentral:rRNA from 1 species
AGCAGCCGCGGUAAUUCCAGCUCCAAUAGCGUAUAUUAAAGUUGUCGCAGUUAAAAAGCCCGUAGUUGAAUUUCGGGGUUAGUAGAUUGGUCAUGCCUCUGGUAUGUACUGAUCUCACUGAUUCCUCCUUCCUGAUGAGCCGUAAUGCCAUUAAUUUGGUGUUGCGAGGAAUCUGGACUGUUACUUUGAAAAAAUUGAGUGUUUAAAGCAGGCUAACGCUUGAAUACAUUAGCAUGGAAUAAUGAAAUAGGACGUUCGAUCCUAUUUUGUUGGUUUCUAGGAUUGACGUAAUGAUUAAUAGGGAUAGUUGGGGCAUUAGUAUUCAAUUGUCAGAGGUGAAAUUCUUGGAUUUAUUGAAGACUAAACUACUGCGAAAGCAUUUGCCAAGGAUGUUUCAUUAAUCAAGAACGAAGUUAGGGAUCGAAGACGAUCAGAUACCGUCGUAGUCUUAACCAUUAAACUAUGACCGACUAGGGAUCGGGAUGAUUGUUAAUUUUUAAUGACUU